rfam:Dipodomys ordii contig_3819, whole genome shotgun sequence.
GGGAAGGUAGCUCAGUGGUAGAGUGCUUGCUUUGCAUGCAUGAGGCCCUGGGCUUGAUUCCUAGGCAUCACA